AUUGAACGCUGGCGGCAGGCUUAACACAUGCAAGUCGAGCGGGGUGAUGGUGCUUGCACUAUCACUUAGCGGCGGACGGGUGAGUAAUGCUUAGGAAUCUGCCUAUUAGUGGGGGACAACAUCUCGAAAGGGAUGCUAAUACCGCAUACGUCCUACGGGAGAAAGCAGGGGAUCACUUGUGACCUUGCGCUAAUAGAUGAGCCUAAGUCGGAUUAGCUAGUUGGUGGGGUAAAGGCCUACCAAGGCGACGAUCUGUAGCGGGUGUGAGAGGAUGAUCCGCCACAGUGGGACUGAGACACGGCCCAGACUCCUACGGGAGGCAGCAGUGGGGAAGAUUGGACAAUGGGGGGAACCCUGAUCCAGCGAUGCCGCGUGUGUGAAGAAGGCCUUAUGGUUGUAAAGCACUUUAAGCGAGGAGGAGGCUCUUUUGGUUAAUACCCAAGAUGAGUGGACGUUACUCGCAGAAUAAGCACCGGCUAACUCUGUGCCAGCCGCCGCCGUAA
rnacentral:rRNA from 1 species